rnacentral:rRNA from 1 species
GACGAACGCUGGCGGCGUGCUUAACACAUGCAAGUCGAACGGAAAGGCCCUGCUUUUGUGGGGUGCUCGAGUGGCGAACGGGUGAGUAACACGUGAGUAACCUGCCCUUGACUUUGGGAUAACUUCAGGAAACUGGGGCUAAUACCGGAUAGGAGCUCCUGCUGCGUGGUGGGGGUUGGAAAGUUUCGGCGGUUGGGGAUGGACUCGCGGCUUAUCAGCUUGUUGGUGGGGUAGUGGCUUACCAAGGCUUUGACGGGUAGCCGGCCUGAGAGGGUGACCGGCCACAUUGGGACUGAGAUACGGCCUAGACUCCUACGGGAGGCAGCAGUGGGGAAUAUUGCACAAUGGGCGGAAGCCUGAUGCAGCAACGCCGCGUGCGGGAUGACGGCCUUCGGGUUGUAAACCGCUUUCGCCUGUGACGAAGCGUGAGUGACGGUAAUGGGUAAAGAAGCACCGGCUAACUACGUG